rnacentral:rRNA from 1 species
AACGAACGCUGGCGGCAUGCCUAACACAUGCAAGUCGAACGAGCCUUCGGGUCUAGUGGCGCACGGGUGCGUAACGCGUGGGAACCUGCCCUUAGGUUCGGAAUAACUCCCCGAAAGGGGUGCUAAUACCGGAUAAUGUCUUCGGACCAAAGAUUUAUCGCCUUUGGAUGGGCCCGCGUUGGAUUAGCUAGUUGGUAGGGUAAAAGCCUACCAAGGCGACGAUCCAUAGCUGGUCUGAGAGGAUGAUCAGCCACACUGGGACUGAGACACGGCCCAGACUCCUACGGGAGGCAGCAGUGGGGAAUAUUGGACAAUGGGCGAAAGCCUGAUCCAGCAAUGCCGCGUGAGUGAUGAAGGCCUUAGGGUUGUAAAGCUCUUUUACCCGGGAUGAUAAUGACAGUACCGGGAGAAUAAGCUCCGGCUAACUCCGUG